rnacentral:rRNA from 1 species
GGUCAAGCUACAAAGGGCUUAUGAUGGAUGACUAGGCACUGAUAGGCGAUGAAGGACGUGGCAAGCUGCGAUAAGCUUCGGGGAGCCGCAAACAGGCUUUGAUCCGGGGAUUUCCGAAUGGGGCAACCUAUUGCGGGUUAUACUGCAAUACUCUUAUCUGAAUACAUAGGGUAAGGGAGCGAUACCAGGGGAAGUGAAACAUCUCAGUACCCUGAGGAAAAGAAAGAGAAAUCUAUUUUCAGAGUAGCGGCGAGCGAAAUGGAAACAGCCUAAAUUCCUACAACGUGAUAGCCUGUAUGCGUUGUUGUAGGGAAGUCAUGGGGCUGAGCUGGGUCAGUAUACAGACUGGCCGGUUUUGAUAUCCUUUAUAGCUGAACUGUCUGGAAAGGCAGGUCAUAGAGAGUGAUAGCCUCGUAAGCAAAAUAAAGAUAUUGAAACUGAGCUUAGUUCCCAAGUACUGCGGGACACGUGAAACCCUGCAGGAAUUUGGCCCGACCAUGGGCUAAGGCUAAAUACUAAUCAGUGACCGAUAGUGCACAAGUAAUGUGAAUGAAAGUUGAAAAGAACCCCUUUAAGGGGAGUGAAAUAGUACCUGAAAUCAUAAGCUUACAAGCGGUAGGAGGGCUAUGUCUCAUCUUCGAUGAGAUAUGCCUGACUGCGUGCCUAUUGAAUAAUGAUCCGGCGAGUUAUUAGGUGUAGCAAGGUUAAUCCCCUCUGGGGAGGAGCCGUAGCGAAAGCGAGUCCGAAUGGGGCGACAAGUUGCAUCUAAUAGACCCGAAGCGAGGCGAUCUACCCAUGGCCAGGAUGAAGCGCAUGUAACAGUGCGUGGAGGUCCGAACAGGUUAACGUUGAAAAGUUAUCUGAUGAGCUGUGGGUCGGAGUGAAAGGCUAAUCAAGCUUCGUGAUAGCUGGUUCUCCUCGAAAUAGCUUUAGGGCUAGCCUCAUAAAUUAGAGUUUGGGGGUAGAGUACAGAAUGGGCUAGGGGACCUACCAGUCUUCCGAACCCAAUUUAACUCCGAAUACCAGACUUUUGUAUUAUGGGAGUAAGACUACGAGGGAUAAGCUUCGUGGUCAAAAGGGAAACAGCCCAGACCGUCAGCUAAGGUCCCUAAAUAUAUGCUAAGUGGUAAAGGAUGUGGAAUCACGCAGACAACCAGGAUGUUGGCUUAGAGGCAGCCAUCAUUUAAAGAGUGCGUAACAGCUCACUGGUCGAGUGGUUUUGCGCCGAUAAUGAUCGGGGCUAAGCAUAUUACCGAAGCUACGGAUUGAUUUUACCUAAGGGUAAUUUCAGUGGUAGAGGAGCGUUCCAUGGUAGAGCGAAGGCAGACCGUAAGGACUGCUGGACGAGAUGGAAGUGAUAAUGCCGGAAUAAGUAGCGAAAAUCACGGUGUAAAACCGUGACGCCGUAAAUCUCAGGUUUCCUGGGGAAGGUUAAUCCGCCCAGGGUUAGUCGAUCCUAAGCCGAGGCCGAAAGGCGUAGGCGAUGGGCAAUCUGUUUAAUAUUCAGAUACUACUUGGUUUGCGUUUUAACGUAUCAGUGUGACGCAGAAAGAUAGAUCAGCGGCCGGGUGGAUGUGGCCGUACAAACCUGUAGUCCAUGCCGCAAGGCAUGGAUAAGGGGUUACGUGGAGUCCAAUCUACGGAGCGGACGAACUGGUUGAUUCCACGCUGCCAAGAAAUAACACUGGUUCAAGUAAGCCGAGUAAUCGUACCGUAAACCGACACAGGUAGAUGAGGAGAAAAUCCUAAGGCGCUCGAUAGAACUCUCGUUAAGGAACUAGGCAAAAUAGCCCCGUAACUUCGGAAGAAGGGGUGCCCUGAAGGGUGAAGCUGUACAAGCCAGCCCGUCGGGGUCUCAGUAAAGUGGCUUCUGUGACUGUUUAGCAAAAACACAUGUCUCUGCUAAGUCGAUAAGACGACGUAUAGGGACUGACACCUGCCCGGUGCUGGAAGGUUAAGGAAAGAGGUUAGUGUCCGCAAGGACGCGAAGCUUUGAACCGAAGCCCCAGUAAACGGCGGCCGUAACUAUAACGGUCCUAAGGUAGCGAAAUUCCUUGUCGGGUAAGUUCCGACCCGCACGAAUGGUGUAACGAAAGAAGCGCUGUCUCAACGAGAGGCUCGGUGAAAUUGUAGUAGCGGUGAAGAUGCCGCUUACAUGUAUCGGGACGAAAAGACCCCAGAACCUUUACUGUACUCUGGUAUUGGAUUUUGAUCCGAUCUGUGUAGCAUAGUCGGGAGGCUUUGAAGCCCGGGCGUUAGCCUGGGUGGAGCCAUCAGUGAAAUACCGACCUUAUUGUAUUAGGGUUCUAACCUAUAUCUGUGAAACCAGAUAGGGGACCGUGCCAGACGGGCAGUUUGACUGGGGCGGUGACCUCCUAAAGCGUAACGGAGGCGUUCAAAGGUUCUCUCAGCGCGGUUGGCAAUCGCGCAUUGAGCGUAAAGGUAUAAGAGAGCUUAACUGCGAGACAUACAAGUCGAGCAGAUACGAAAGUAGGACUUAGUGAUCCGGCGGUGGAGUAUGGAAUCGCCGUCGCUCAACGGAUAAAAGGUACUCUGGGGAUAACAGGCUUAUCUUGCCCGAGAGUUCAUAUCGACGGCAAGGUUUGGCACCUCGAUGUCGGCUCAUCACAUCCUGGGGGUGGAGAAGCUCCCAAGGGUCCGGCUGUUCGCCGGUUAAAGUGGUACGUGAGCUGGGUUCAGAACGUCGUAAGACAGUAGAUCUAACGAUUAAGCUGUCUAUAAAAUUGGCUAUUUGCUGGAAAGUCUGGUGUAUCCCACGCUACCUCUUUUAAUUAAAUUUUUUCAAAAUUUUUGAAAGAAUUUAAGGCUGAAAUGUGUCUUAUAUAUUAAAGGAGGUGAAAAUGCGAUGGGUGCAGAAAAUCAGCAGGAAAGGCCGAGAGAGAGUCUGAGCCAUUAUAUAGCAGGUUUUGUUGAUGGAGAAGGAUGUUUUCAUGUUGCAAUACAAAGGCGAAGCGAUUUGCCAAAAGGAUUUCAGUUAAUCCCUGAAUUCCACGUUUCGCAGCAUAGAGACAAAGCUCUGAUUUUAGAAAUGAUUAGAGAUUUCUUUGGAUGCGGUUAUGUUAAACCAAAUCAUCCAGGGAGCCUUCGCGAUAUUACAGAAGUGUAUAUUGUGAGAAAUCGACAAGACUUGUUAGAAAAAAUAACUCCUUUUUUUGAAAGAUAUCCAUUGAUUUCACAGAAAAUGGAUGACUUUAAGAAGUUCGCUUAUAUCGUCAAGUCGAUGGAUAAGGGUGAACAUCUAACAAAAGAAGGGUUGACUAACCUUACAAGAUUAGCUUUUUCAAUGUAUAAUGGCAAAUAUAGAAAAUUAAGUUUGGAAAAAGUGAUUUCUCUGUCGGAAUCUUCAGAGACUGUACGCCAAUUACCGAAAGGUAAAGAUACAGUCCGAGCUGCAUGGCGACAUGCAGAGGUUAGCAGAAAUGACUAACCCUCCGCCCUAGGCGGAGUAACAAAACUGUCGGUCUCUAUCUGAUACAUGCGUAGGAUAUUUGAAGGGAGUUGUCCCUAGUACGAGAGGACCGGGAUAAACGAACCAAUGGUGUUCCAGUUGUCACGCCAGUGGCAUUCGCUGGGUAGCUAAGUUCGGAAAGGAUAAGCGCUGAAUGCAUAUAAGCGCCAAGCCCCCCCUAAGAUAAAAUAUCCCUCCCCGCAAGGGGAUAAGGCACCUUGUAGACUACGAGGUUGAUAGGCCAGGUGUGUAAGACCCGUAAGGGUUUCAGCUGACUGGUACUAAUCUGCCGAAUGGCUUGACCAC